UAAUAAUAAUAAUGAUUUAAUCGCAUUUCCACAUCACUAUGCUACAAGAUUUGCAUUCGGCGUCAGGAAGUCGUUUCAAACACGGAAAUUCAGCUGUACAGCUUUUCAAUUUGAAAUACUAAGAAAAAUUAUUUUGAAUUCCUGGUUACCUUGCCUAUAAUCUAUAUGAUCGUUUAUCAAUCGUUUAACGGAUAAGUAUUCAGUCACUAUUAAGCCACUACAGGAAAUUAAACUGAAUUGAUUGCAUAUAUUGCGUAAUGUAUAUAGUUGGUGUCCUGC